UACGUAGGGUGCGAGCGUUAAUCGGAAUUACUGGGCGUAAAGCGUGCGCAGGCGGUUUUGUAAGCCAGGUGUGGAAUCCCCGGGCUCAACCUGGGAAUGGCAUUUGGGACUGCAAGGCUGGAGUGCGGCAGAGGAGACUGGAAUUCCUGGUGUAGCAGUGAAAUGCGUAGAUAUCAGGAGGAACACCGGUGGUGUAGACGGCUCUCUGGACCGUAACUGACGCUGAGGCACGAAAGCGUGGGGAGCAAACAGG
rnacentral:rRNA from 1 species